GUAGGGAAUCUUCGGCAAUGGACGAAAGUCUGACCGAGCAACGCCGCGUGAGUGAAGAAGGUUUUCGGAUCGUAAAACUCUGUUGUUAGAGAAGAAUGUUGAUUAGAGUGGAAAAUUAAUCAAGUGACGGUAUCUAACCAGAAAGGGACGGCUAACUACGUGCCAGCAGCCGCGGUAAUACGUAGGUCCCGAGCGUUGUCCGGAUUUAUUGGGCGUAAAGCGAGCGCAGGUGGUUUAAUAAGUCUGAUGUAAAAGGCAGUGGCUCAACCGUUGUGUGCAUUGGAAACUGUUAGACUUGAGUGCAGUAGAGGAGAGUGGAAUUCCAUGUGUAGCGGUGAAAUGCGUAGAUAUAUGGAGGAACACCGGUGGCGAAAGCGGCUCUCUGGUCUGUAACUGACGCUGAGGUUCGAAAGCGUGGGUAGCAAACAGGAUUAGAUACCCCAGUAGUCC
rnacentral:rRNA from 1 species